rnacentral:rRNA from 1 species
GACGAACGCUGGCGGCGUGCUUAACACAUGCAAGUCGAACGGAAAGGCCUCUAUCGGGGGGUACUCGCGUGGCCAACGGGUGAGUAACACGUGAGUAACCUGCCCUUCACUUUGGGAUAACUUCAGGAAACUGGGGCUAAUACCGGAUAGGAGCUCCUGCUGCAUGGUGGGGGUUGGAAAGUUUCGGCGGUUGGGGAUGGACUCGCGGCUUAUCAGCUUGGUGGUGGGGUAGUGGCUUACCAAGGCGUUGACGGGUAGCCGGCCUGAGAGGGUGAUCGGCCACAUUGGGACUGAGAUACGGCCCCGACUCCGACGGGAGGCAGCAGGGGGGAAUAUUGCACAAGGGGUGGAAGCCUGAUGCAGCAACGCCGUGUGCGGGAGGACGGUCUUCGGGUUGAAAACCGAUUUCGCUCAUGACGAAGCUUUGUGUGACGGUAGUGGGUAAAGAAGCACCGGCUAACUACGUG